rnacentral:rRNA from 1 species
GGAAGACUACCAGUUGAUAGGCCGGGCGUGUAAGCAUAGAAAUAUGUUCAGCUAACCGGUACUAACGCCCGAAGACUUGACCAC